AUCAACAAAGGUGGCAUCUGAGGCACUAGAUAUAGGAAGAUCUACCUUUUAUCCAGAUUCUAGUUUAUCAAACACCUUUGGGUUCAAGAUACAGGACAAGCAAGGUCUUGGAUUUAUUGGAAGAUUCCAGCUGAAUACUUCUUAAUCUUUUUUUGGGAGGAUCAAGAGAGACGAACAAGAAGCAAGCUGAGCUCAAUGCAAAACUUGAUGCUAGAUUAAAACUUGAUCUGUUGUUUGAUGUGUGAUGUGAUGUGAUGCCGGAAAACUUGAGGUGUAUGAUGUAACAGCAUUCUAAUUUUGAAACUGAUUAUGUGGGCUAUU